GUGGAUGACCGAGGGAAAGUGAUUGAAAACAAGUUGUUAGAAAUGUUUACAUGACUGGUGCGGCGAACAAAGUGUUGGCCGUGGCUGUACGACGUUCUGUGUUGAAUCCAACCAUUUUUCUAUGGCAGCCUCAGAUUGACCAAUAUCAUGACUGAAAUAAUUAAAAGGUAUAUUGCUGUGAUGAUGAUGUGGAAGUAAUAAGCAAAGAUGGCUUAACAAUAACAGCAGCAGCAACAGCCGCAGCAAAUGAACAGGAACUUCACUCCGUCUCACCACCUGUGCUAACGAGCAAAAACACAAAGUCCACACCUUUAAUGAAAUUGCAUUAACCCUUCAGCAUUUAAACCCUUCAUCUCUGACUCACAUAUUCUACCUGUUUAUAUUCAGACUGGCCUGAUCCAGCCUCUCAUGUCUAUCCUACAAUGUCAUUCUAAAAAAUGAACAAUCCUAUUAUUGAAAUAAUGAAAGUACAAGAAAAUUCGUGAUUAAUUCAAACCAAUAUGAAUGGAUCAGUAUUUCGCUCGACAGAUUAAUCUGAAUGCUCAAGGGCCAACCCUUUUGCAUUUAAACCAGCCAUAUCUGGUCUCUUACACUUACCCUGUAAUGCCAUUCUAAAAAUAUACAACUGCAUCGUUGAAAAUGACGUGAAUGAUUAAUUACAUUUGACUAAUUUGAGUGCUAAAGUGUUAACGAAAUACUGAAAAAAAUGUAUAGUAUUGUAUGCUUUAUAAAACAUACAUUUGAACACUCAUAUCUUCUGAAUAUUUGGCAAAACAUUUAGUGUUCCAUCGGGCGGUUUACUCUUACAACUACAUGUUUUUGUAAUAACUACCUACAGCAACAAUGAGAAGCACUCUUGUCGACCCACGCGCAUUCAAGUGUCCGCACUGCAGCAAAAGCUUUCACUGCUCCAGUCACUUGACCACCCAUGUGAGGACACAUACCGGGGAAAGACCUUACAAGUGCGGCCAGUGUCCGAAGUCGUUUGCGCUACUUGGCAACCUGACAGCGCAUGUGCGCACCCACACGGGCGAAAAGCCGUACAGCUGUAAGUUCUGCACCAAGUCGUUCACGCAGUCGACCAACCUGAAUGUCCACAUGCGGGUACACACUGGAGAGCGGCCGUACAAAUGCGAGCGAUGCCAGAAAGCCUUCAAGACAAGUGGUGCACUCAACGGCCAUGUGAAAUCCUGCUACAAAAUUGUGCGACGGUUUGCAGCACCUGUUUUACGACAGAACAACACCAGUGGUAGUGCACUUGGUGCAUCUUAUGCAGGGCGCUCAACUACCGCUUCCAGUACGGUUCGCAAUACCGAGAAACUAGUUCCAACCAUAAACAUACAACGUACUCUUCCUAGUGAUUCAUCAUUGAGACCAUCUGUGGCUGUUUCCUGUGAGACCAGUUCUAGUUCGUUACCGUAUAGCAACAGUAGCUUGUUUAAUUACCGUAGGAGAAAGAUCUCCGACAUUAUCGCCAAGAAGCGAUUCGGUGGAGCACCAACAGUGUCAAUGUGUAAGCCUUUGAAUGUUAGCUCUGUAACUCGAAAUUGUGGUUCUACAAGCAGUACUCUAUGUACUGCAGAAAAGAAACCAUCUUGUGCAAACUUGAACACAUUUAAGCAGGAAACCACACCUAAUCUUACCCCUGUAAAUGGUAUUUUUGAAAGCCGCCAACACAGUAAGUCAGGAUUUCCUAGAGAAUCUCUCAAAGAUGGCAGUAAUAUGGUGGCAGCAACAACAGCGGCUGCAUCUUCUAAGUUAUUGGAGAGGGAGAUGAUCUCCGAGGAUCAAAACUUUAAUAUUUAUGAUGAUGUUCACAAGUCUACUUCUAGUGAAACACAACAGACCUCUACAAUCACUGCAGCCAACAGCUUUGAAGAUAGCAAAGAUUUCCUAGUUUCCUCAACAGGUUUCUCCCAGCAACCGACCAUUCAUUCCAAUGGAGACAGCCUUACAGUGGAUUUCAAUUCACUGGUGUCUUUAUCAGAGAUUUCUCAAGACAAAAUUGAGGAUGUCUUCUAUCAGCAGAGCCACAGGCAAACGGGAGGGGCAGCUGUGCAGUUCAGCCAAAGUGGAAUUGUUGAUGGUCAGCCUCUUGAGUCGAGGUCAGCAGAAAAACAUUUGCCAGAGAACGGUGGGGCACCUUGUCCUCAACAAGAUAGGAGGAGCAGAGAUGGGACUAACUAUGGUACUGUUCCCAGAAAUACACUAUCCAGAAGCAAUGCUCAGACUGGUCGUGAGAGGAACAUUUCUUUGGCCACACGAUUACACCAGAAACCUCCAAGAUCCACUCACAGUUCUGACAAACUUAACUUCUGUAGAAUACAAUCACCGUUUCUUACAGAUUCUAUGGCACUGUCCAGUGAGAGAUCUGUUCCGGGUUUAACUCAUUCUUCACCUGACUCGGCUAAUUCACGUCUGGCCUUUCUGGAAGUUUCUACCUACACCCAGAUCUUUAAAUGUAAACUUUGCAAUUUGGUCUUUGAGACGAAAGAUGAUUUUCUCCACCACACGCCUCUCCACGAGGACGAUGAGCUGCUCGUCUGCAAAUUCUGUGAAAUGGAUUUUAAAACCCCACUGGACCUUGUCCUUCAUCAGAAAGAUCACAAUCUACCGGAACAGCUUUGUGAACUCUGCGACCAAAUGGUUUUAUCGACACGCUUUGCUGCUCACUUGAAUCUGCAUGCAACUGCAAUGAACCGAACAGCACAAGAGACCAGAAUUUUUUGGUGCCAUUUCUGUGAUAAAUCUUUCGUAGACCAGUCAUAUCUUGAUCUUCAUUUGCGGGUGCACUCAAUACAGAAACCCUUGCAUUUUAGCUCAUCUGAACAAUUACAGUCGAAAACUCACCAUCAGCAUAGGAAACCCCUUCAUGAAAAACCCUUGAAAUCUUUUAAGUGUCCGUAUUGUCAGAAGAAAUUCCAUUAUUCUAAAAACCUCAUUGCACACAUGCAUUCCCAUUCUGUUCAGCGUUUAUACAAGUGUAAGAAAUGUCCAAGAGUCCUUAGAACUGUCCAACGUUUUAAUAUUCAUCAGAAAAUCUGUCCAAAGAAAUAUCGGCACCAUUCCAAGAAAACUGCACCAUUUAGUCACUCAAAGACAACAUCAUGGCAAAACAGUUGCAGCAAUGAUGGUACCAACAGCCACCUUCCAGAACAUUCCACCAGAAACGGUACUGCUGUAGGUUUUAAGCAAAAUAUAACCGAAAGCAUGGAAGUGUCCCAAAGCCCUGAUUCUGUGAUAGGAGAUAAACUAGAGAGUGUAGAAUGCCUUCAGGAGAAUACACAGGUUCCAUGUGCUGAUGAUGGCACUGAUAAUGGUCUGCAGAGCACUGAGGAUGGCCAGUCGCCUUUGCAGGAGUUUGUUGAGGGUCAGGUGGUGAAAGAAAGAGAUGUUGACCAAAGUGUCAAUUCAGACAAAGUUUUGUUGAGAUGUUUGUGUUGCCAGAUGAAUUUCUCAUCUAAAUUGUUGCUCUUACAACACGUCAGCAGCCAGCACAGCUCAGAGGGCCAGUGUCAGUUCUGUGGAAGACCUUUGGAUGUUGAUAACGACCUGGUUAGUCAUAUUAACUGCUACACCACUUCAACAAGCAUUUACAGAAACUGCAGAUAUUGUCCGGAAGGGUUUUCUGAUACUGAUAGUUACCAGAGUCAUUUGUCUGCCGUACACAAAAUGCACACUGAGGCCCAAGAACCAGAUGAUGAAGUUGUAGAUGUUGACCCAUCCAGUGAAGAAGUCGCCAGUGUUGACCUCGAAAGCGUUCCCAGUUCGGGGAUCGGUUUUGUAAACUGCACUGACCAGGCAAAACAAUCAAGGAAACAGCCCCAUGUAUUUCCACGUGCGCAAGUGCACUUCCAGCCACGUAACAAGUGUCAUAACUGCGGUCGCACUUUCUCUUCAGCAUCUCAGCUGUACGUUCAUCUCGUUAAAGCCCACGAUCGUCUACAGCCUCACCGAUGUCAUUACUGCAAAAGACUUUUCAAAAAUUGCACGAAUUUCUACAUGCAUGUCUGCUCGCAUGCCCCUAAAGAGAGUUCGUACGAGUGCAAGUUGUGUUGCAAGAGUUUUACGCAGCCUGAGAAUCUCAGAACACAUCUUCAAACGCAUAAUGGUGACAGACCAUUCCGGUGUAAAUUCUGUGGCAAGUUUUUCAGUAAGCCCGACAACUUGAAUGCGCAUCUGCGAGUGCACACCAACGAGAGACCGUUUCUGUGUCAUCACUGCAACUCUGCAUUUAAAACAUCCGCCGCACGCAACGUGCACAUUCAAAACUGCACCGUGAAAAGGUUGAAGAAAAAAGCCGUUUCUCAUUCCAUGGAUUAUGGUGUUCAAGAGAAGAAAGCACUGACUUCACGGUUCACUGGUUCUCAGUCAGAGUUGAGCAACAAUGCUGUUGAGGUACCGGUUAUUGCGGCAGUAAAAGACAAUUCUCCUGAAACUUUACCAAUUCUAGAAAACAAAAAAGAAUCUUUGGAAUCAGUUCCUGCAAAUAAAAGUACAGAAGAACAGUUAGAAAAAUCUCCCACAAUGCUACACAUUUUAGUCUCCGAUCCCCAGCAAGAAUUACAUACAGUCGACAUGAAACCGACGCCAACAGAGCUCUGCAAUGAUGGCUCUCUACCGACCAUACAAGGGUUUUACCAAAAUAAAUUCUGUACUGACAAUUUGUCGGUAUCAAAUUCUUCCAAAUCUUUGAAUUAUUCGACAUCUUCGCCCAACAUGAAUGGUUCCGAGGCAAAAGACGUGAUUCCUACGAGUGAGAUUGGUAGUAGUAGUAGUAGUAAUUAUUCCACUGUUGCAUCGGAGAAGUCUGUGAGUCAUUUGGAGGCAGAGCCUGAAAGUUUGGAUGAACCUAAGAACAUUUCACUCGGGUUUGAUUCCACGACCAAGUUAGUCGACAGAUCUUAUCUCACCCCUAAUGAGAAUAAACAUUCAUUGCUGGAGGGUGAUGGCAGUUUCUUUAACAAGAGGGUGGAGGCAGAAACUAAAGACUGCAAACAAGAUCAUUAUAAAAUAAUUAACGAUUUACCAAAGUCUGAGGAGGUAGGAAGAUCACUGGGACUUUACACUUCUCAGAAUUCUUCAGCUGUUACAGGAGGCGGCGGAGCUGGCAUUAACGUUGCCAGUGUUUCUAUUCAGGAUGAAGAAAAGCCAUCAUUUACUGUCGCUUCAAGCCCUGUUAAUGUGAUCGAAUCCGCUGACGACAAACUCGGGCUGGAGUUGAACCUGAAGUCACCAGAGGAUGCAGUUCCGCCACUAUUUAAGUGCCUAAAGUGUUUCCGUAUGUUCAACUCAGCUCCUGAAUACACUGACCACUUACUGACCCACGUGUGGGCGUCCACCCCCAGCUCGACGUCUUCACCGGUCGGCUCCGGCUCGCAAACGUACUCGACUCCGGUCGACCAGUUUGAGCCCAGCAACGCUGACACUCCUCCACCCUUGACCACACAUCAAACAUUGCUUCCACCACCACCUUCGCAUCUUUCGUCCACCUUGGAUCAGCAGCAAACAAGUACUAGCAGCAGCAGCAGCAGCAGUAGUAGUAGUAUUCGUCCCGGCCUGUCAGGUCCUCAGUCAAUGCUGUAUUCGCUACAGCAACAGCAGCAACCGCCGGCCCUUGAACAGAACCCACAAACCCCUGAUGAUUCCAAGACACAACUCAUCAAGUGCAAACAAUGUCCAAAGAAAUUCACAAAAAUCUACAGUCUUGCCGUCCACAUGAAAUCUCAUUACCAACAACAGCAACAACCAAAGCAACAACUACAACUGCAACAACAACAACACCAACACGUCUGCAAAAUCUGUCCCGGUACGGAGGUGUUCCCGACUGCCGAGGACCUCAGCGAACAUUUGAAGCACCAUUGCGAGUUUCGCUGCAAGUUCUGUCAGAAGGUGGUGCACAGUGCAUCGCAGCUGUACACGCAUAUGCGGACGCACACGGGCGAGAAGCCGUUCCAUUGUCCGCAUUGCCCGAAGACAUUUGCUGUGAACUGCAACCUCAUUGCACACGUGCGAAUCCAUACGGGGGAGCGCCCAUUCAGGUGCCAGUAUUGCGACAAGUCGUUUGCCCAGGCGACCAACCUCAAUGUGCAUACGCGCAUACACACAGGGGAACGGCCAUACCUUUGCAGCAAAUGCAAGAGGGCCUUCCGCACAUCUAGUGCUCUCAAGGGUCACCUCAAGUGCUGCCCAGUCCCAAUAUAAAGCUUGGUUGUUCCAGGGAAUGGACAACAGACGAAUAGACGGACUGAGGAAUGGAGGAGUAGAUGAACAAGAAGGUGUGUGGGCAGACACAGAGACAUAUUCGGACAGGUAGAUGGGUGAAUAGAGAUGGGAAGUAGCAUGUGUUAUAAUACUGGUAGUGUGUAUAUGUUUGGGUUGAGAAGGUGGGUGAUCUGUUAGUUAAAAGGGUGGAUUGUUUGGCUGAUUGGUUGAAUGAGAUGGCCGGGUGUGAUUGUUUGGAUGAUGACCGUUUCUUGUGGCUGACUGGAAAUUCAGCUUGUUUUGGUGCUGGAGGCAAACACACACACACAUAGAGAAAUACACACGUAAAUUGAGUGAGUGAGAGAGAGAGAGACAUUACACAGACAUUGAAGCAUAACAAAAUGAUUGCACACUUAACCCUUUUGUUACUGUAUUUAUUUUGAGAUGCUCUGUGUUUCUUUCAAUUAAUUUUAAAUAUAGCAAAGAAUUUAGUAAAAUAACUUAGUUAUC
rnacentral:misc_RNA from 1 species